rnacentral:rRNA from 1 species
CACGUAGGCACCAAGCGUUGUCCGGAUUUAUUGGGCGUAAAGAGCUCGUAGGCGGUUCAGUAAGUCGGGUGUGAAAACUCUGGGCUUAACCCGGAGAGGCCACUCGAUACUGCUGAACUUGAGUACGGUAGGGGAGUGGGGAAUUCCUGGUGUAGCGGUGAAAUGCGCAGAUAUCAGGAGGAACACCGGUGGCGAAGGCGCCACUCUGGGCCGAAACUGACGCUGAGGAAGCGAAAGCGUGGGGAGCGAACAGG